AGUGAACGCUGGCGGUAGGCCUAACACAUGCAAGUCGAACGGCAGCACAGUAAGAGCUUGCUCUUACGGGUGGCGAGUGGCGGACGGGUGAGGAAUACAUCGGAAUCUACUUUUUCGUGGGGGAUAACGUAGGGAAACUUACGCUAAUACCGCAUACGACCUACGGGUGAAAGCAGGGGAUCUUCGGACCUUGCGCGAUUGAAUGAGCCGAUGUCGGAUUAGCUAGUUGGCGGGGUAAAGGCCCACCAAGGCGACGAUCCGUAGCUGGUCUGAGAGGAUGAUCAGCCACACUGGAACUGAGACACGGUCCAGACUCCUACGGGAGGCAGCAGUGGGGAAUAUUGGACAAUGGGCGCAAGCCUGAUCCAGCGAUACCGCGUGGGUGAAGAAGGCCUUCGGGUUGUAAAGCCCUUUUGUUGGGAAAGAAAAGCAGCAGGUUAAUACCCCGCUGUUCUGACGGUACCAAAAGAAUAAGCACCGGCUAACUUCGUG
rnacentral:rRNA from 1 species